rnacentral:rRNA from 1 species
AGUAAUGCAUAGGAAUCUGCCCGGUAGUGGGGGAUAACCUGGGGAAACCCAGGCUAAUACCGCAUACGUCCUACGGGAGAAAGGGGGCUCCGGCUCCCGCUAUUGGAUGAGCCUAUGUCGGAUUAGCUAGUUGGUGAGGUAAUGGCUCACCAAGGCGACGAUCCGUAGCUGGUCUGAGAGGAUGAUCAGCCACAUCGGGACUGAGACACGGCCCGAACUCCUACGGGAGGCAGCAGUGGGGAAUAUUGGACAAUGGGGGGAACCCUGAUCCAGCCAUGCCGCGUGUGUGAAGAAGGCCUUCGGGUUGUAAAGCACUUUCAGCGAGGAAGAACGCCUAGUGGUUAAUACCCAUUAGGAAAGACAUCACUCGCAGAAGAAGCACCGGCUAACUCCGUGCCAGCAGCCGCGGUAAUACGGAGGGUGCAAGCGUUAAUCGGAAUUACUGGGCGUAAAGCGCGCGUAGGUGGCUUGAUAAGCCGGUUGUGAAAGCCCCGGGCUCAACCUGGGAACGGCAUCCGGAACUGUCAAGCUAGAGUGCAGGAGAGGAAGGUAGAAUUCCCGGUGUAGCGGUGAAAUGCGUAGAGAUCGGGAGGAAUACCAGUGGCGAAGGCGGCCUUCUGGACUGACACUGACACUGAGGUGCGAAAGCGUGGGUAGCAAACAGGAUUAGAUACCCUGGUAGUCCACGCCGUAAACGAUGUCGACCAGCCGUUGGGUGCCUAGCGCACUUUGUGGCGAAGUUAACGCGAUAAGUCGACCGCCUGGGGAGUACGGCCGCAAGGUUAAAACUCAAAUGAAUUGACGGGGGCCCGCACAAGCGGUGGAGCAUGUGGUUUAAUUCGAUGCAACGCGAAGAACCUUACCUACUCUUGACAUCCUGCGAAUUUGGUAGAGAUACCUUAGUGCCUUCGGGAACGCAGAGACAGGUGCUGCAUGGCUGUCGUCAGCUCGUGUUGUGAAAUGUUGGGUUAAGUCCCGUAACGAGCGCAACCCUUGUCCUUAUUUGCCAGCGCGUAAUGGCGGGAACUC